UUUUUUUUUGGUUUUUAUU
rnacentral:sRNA from 1 species